UACGAAGGGGGCUAGCGUUGCUCGGAAUCACUGGGCGUAAAGCGCACGUAGGCGGCUUCUCAAGUCAGGGGUGAAAUCCUGGAGCUCAACUCCAGAACUGCCUUUGAUACUGAGGAUCUUGAGUCCGGGAGAGGUGAGUGGAACUGCGAGUGUAGAGGUGAAAUUCGUAGAUAUUCGCAAGAACACCAGUGGCGAAGGCGGCUCACUGGCCCGGUACUGACGCUGAGGUGCGAAAGCGUGGGGAGCAAACAGG
rnacentral:rRNA from 1 species